UAAGGAAUAUUGGUCAAUGGACGCAAGUCUGAACCAGCCAUGCCGCGUGAAGGAUGAAGGUCCUCUGGACUGUAAACUUCUUUUAUCUGGGACGAAAACGGGAUUUUUAUCUCAAUUGACGGUACCAGAGGAAUAAGCACCGGCUAACUCCGUGCCAGCAGCCGCGGUAAUACGGAGGGUGCGAGCGUUAUCCGGAUUUACUGGGUUUAAAGGGUGCGUAGGUGGGCUUAUAAGUCAGUGGUGAAGUCUCCGAGCUUAACUUGGAAACUGCCGUUGAUACUAUAGGUCUUGAAUUAUCUGGAGGUAAGCGGAAUAUGUCAUGUAGCGGUGAAAUGCUUAGAUAGGACAUAGAACACCAAUUGCGAAGGCAGCUUACUACAUAUAAAUUGACGCUGAGGCACGAAAGCGUGGGGAUCAAACA
rnacentral:rRNA from 1 species